GCCUUCGUGGCGUAACGGUAACAAACUCGGCGCAUAUUCGAGAGGUCCAGGUUCGAAUCCUGGGGAAGGCG
rnacentral:tRNA from 1 species